GACGAACGCUGGCGGCGUGCUUAACACAUGCAAGUCGAACGGAAAGGCCCUGCUUUUGUGGGGUGCUCGAGUGGCGAACGGGUGAGUAACACGUGAGUAACCUGCCCUUGACUUUGGGAUAACUUCAGGAAACUGGGGCUAAUACCGGAUAGGAGCUCCUGCUGCAUGGUGGGGGUUGGAAAGUUUCGGCGGUUGGGGAUGGACUCGCGGCUUAUCAGCUUGUUGGUGGGGUAGUGGCUUACCAAGGCUUUGACGGGUAGCCGGCCUGAGAGGGUGACCGGCCACCAUGGGAAUGAGAUACGGGCCAGACUCCUACGGGGGGGAGGAGGGGGGAAUAAUGCACCAUGGGGCGAAGGCCGAAGGAGGAACGGCGGGGGGGGGGAGGAGGGCUUUCGGGUGGUAACCGCUUUCGCCUGUGACGAAGCGUGAGUGACGGUAAUGGGUAAAGAAGCACCGGCUAACUACGUG
rnacentral:rRNA from 1 species